rnacentral:rRNA from 1 species
AACGAACGCUGGCGGCAUGCCUAACACAUGCAAGUCGAACGAGACCUUCGGGUCUAGUGGCGCACGGGUGCGUAACGCGUGGGAACCUGCCCUUAGGUUCGGAAUAACUCCCCGAAAGGGGUGCUAAUACCGGAUAAUGUCUUCGGACCAAAGAUUUAUCGCCUUUGGAUGGGCCCGCGUUGGAUUAGCUAGUUGGUAGGGUAAAAGCCUACCAAGGCGACGAUCCAUAGCUGGUCUGAGAGGAGGAUCAGCCACACUGGGACUGAGACACGGCCCAGACUCCUACGGGAGGCAGCAGUGGGGAAUAUUGGACAAUGGGCGAAGGCCUGAUACAGCAAUGCCGCGUGAGUGAUGAAGGCCUUAGGGUUGUAAAGCUCUUUUAGCCGGGAUGAUAAUGACAGUACCGGGAGAAUAAGCUCCGGCUAACUCCGUG